rnacentral:rRNA from 1 species
GUUCAACGGCCGCGGUAUCCUAACCGUGCGAAGGUAGCGUAAUCACUUGUUCUUUAAAUGAGGACUAGUAUGAAUGGCACCACGAGGGUUAUGCUGUCUCCUUUUUCUAAUCAAUGAAACUGAUCUCCCCGUGAAGAAGCGGGGAUGUAAGUAUAAGACGAGAAGACCCUAUGGAGCUUUAAACAACGUAACACUGACUUACAUAUUAUAAUGUUCCAGAACUAUCAUAAUUAUUCUAGCCUCUAUGAUUACUAGUUUUAGGUUGGGGUGACCACGGAGAAAAAAUUAACCUCCAUGUUGAAUGGAAUUAUUCCUGAGCUAAAAGCCACGACUUUAAGCACUAAUAAAUUAACAUAAAUUGACCCAAUAUUUUGAUCAACGAACCAAGUUACCCUAGGGAUAACAGCGCAAUCCAUUUUAAGAGCCCCUAUCGACAAAUGGGUUUACGACCUCGAUGUUGGAUCAGGGUAUCCUAGUGGUGCAGCCGCUACUAAAGGUUCGUUUGUUCAACGAUUAAAACCC